rnacentral:rRNA from 1 species
UACGGGGGGGGCAAGCGUUGUUCGGAAUUACUGGGCGUAAAGGGCUCGUAGGUGGCCAACUAAGUCGGACGUGAAAUCCCUCGGCUCAACCGAGGAACUGCCUUGGAAACUGCAUGGCUCGAGGCCGGGAGAGGGUAGCGGAAUUCCCAGUGUAGCGGUGAAAUGCGUAGAUAUUGGGAGGAACACCGGUGGCGAAGGCGGCUACCUGGACCGGUUCUGACGCUGAUGCGCGAAAGCGUGGGGAGCAAACAGG